UUUCUCCUGCAGUGUAGCUUUUCUUAUCUCGCCAUUGUCGCCGCCGUGCCGGAGAUUCACCGGACCCCCCCUUCUUCCGUUUAUAUCAUGGGUCAAUGACGAGACGUGGUAAAAUCGCCCAAAUUAGCAAAUCCCUUAUUGGCAUACCCAUUUGAUCUGCCGAUUAAAUGCGGAGGGAGGGAGGUAUUUGUUGGAUUAAGCUCGUGGACUAGCAAGUCAACUGAGUGGAGCAGUGUGUUUUCGUGGCGGUUUGGUCUGAGAAAUGUCCCCAAAUGGAUGCAUUCGUUGCCGGUGGAUCCACGGCGGCAUUCGGACAAACAGGAUCAUCUUCGGCCUCUAACCAUUUUUGCUGGGCUGAUCUUUGCAACUGGGUGCGGUGCGUUAAUGGCGUUUUUGGUGCUGUUCAUGUGGGCAAUUACGAGGAAGGUUUUUGGGAGAUUGUUAUCCAGUUCAUGGAACGGAAGGUGCCCCUGCCUGCAGCUAUCCAAAAAUUAGCUGCAUUGAUUCAUACUUGAAUGCGUUCAGAAAUGAAAAACUUUCAAACAUUGAAAUU